UAUCAGUCAACCUUAUCUCUUUUUCAUUCUCCUCCGCCUCUUACUCUCUCCAUUUUCUCUGUGAACAUGUAACUCUAACCUAUUAUAUGUGUUUUGUGUCUAUCUUACAUCUUCUAAUGUUUCUGCAAUAAAUCGAAACACGAUCUGAUCGAAGAAGAAGAAAUUUUGUUUUUCUAUUUCUGUUUAUACUUACUCGGAACAACAGCUAAGUGAAUCUAUGAACUGAUUUCAGUUUCAAUUGUUUUUUGUUUGAUCGAUUAUGAGUUACUUUUGAUGACAUAUUUCUAAUCUUGUUUUUCUGUGUGAUUUAUUAGGUUUUUUCGAAGGAGAACGAGUAGAGGAGAAACCCUAAAUUUAUCAGCAAGAAGAGAAGAAAUCCUAGCCUCUAUUUUGGAACCAAAGUGAGUUCUUCUUCGGUUUUCUUGGUGAAGUCAAUCUUUCAACUCAGGUUGUUGUGAAGGUUAUAUAUAAAUCUGAAGGAGGAGUAUAGAUCUUCUGAGUAGUAUUUUUUUUGGGGGUUUGCCGAAUCAUUAAGAUGAAGCUAUAGAAUGUUGGACUCAUAGAUCUAAAUAACUACGGCAAGCAGAAGUUUUAAGGAUCAACAAACUUUAAAAUGGAGGAAAACUAUGGAGCUAAGGUGGGGGGCAUGUGUGGACUG